CUAAGGAGCAUCUCUUUCGCUCGCUGCACACAGGUGUGGUUGAGGAAAGCAGAGGCCAUUUCGUUCCCGUAUGUGGAACGGUGGUUGCUCAUGGGUGGAUCGCUGACAAACUUGAUCGUCGUACGGUUUCUCCUCUGUGGGAAACCGACGAACAAUAUAUCGGCAUACUGUUGGGUCCUGAGAGAACACGCGAGUGUUUCCUCGAAGGAAGUAACGACAAAUGACUGCUGCAGUCAUACCGCAAGAAUUAUUCGUUAGAGUGGUUUUUGUUGGUGUCUGCGUGAGGUGGUUGUUUGUGUGUUGUUUGAGAACUGCACAGUGGACGCGAGCAUCUUUGU
rnacentral:misc_RNA from 1 species